UUUAAAAUUUGAAAUCUUAAAAAAUUCUCUGUGAGAUCGUGGUGGAAACCCACAAUAUCCGCUUUAUUACACAUACGCCACUGGAGUUAAUACAAUCUAGGUGUUGUGUUCAUAUCAUGACCUUGGCAGUGACAUACAUGAUGUCAAUUUAAAUGAUAUGGUCAUAGUACAUAUUCGUGAUUUGAAUAAUAUGGUUCAAACAUUUUACGUUAACAGGCAUAUGCCUUUAAUGCAUUUUAUGAGCUACUAUGCAGAAAUCUAUUACUGUCCAUUUCCAGGGGCAAAUUUAGUUUUUUAUUUGUUUGAUAGACAAUUGAAUAAUUUUGAUACACUACAAUUUCUCAACGUGAAAUGCUGCGUAAUCCUGGAUGUUUUGUGGCUGGUGAAUAUGUACAUUCAUAC